AACUAAGCAUAUCAAUAAGCGGAGGAAAAGAAACCAACAGGGAUUGCCCUAGUAACGGCGAGUGAAGCGGCAACAGCUCAAAUUUGAAAUCUGGCUCUUUCAGAGUCCGAGUUGUAAUUUGCAGAGGGCGCUUUGGCUUUGGCAGCGGUCCAAGUUCCUUGGAACAGGACGUCACAGAGGGUGAGAAUCCCGUACGUGGUCGCUAGCUAUUGCCGUGUAAAGCCCCUUCGACGAGUCGAGUUGUUUGGGAAUGCAGCUCUAAAUGGGAGGUAAAUUUCUUCUAAAGCUAAAUAUUGGCCAGAGACCGAUAGCGCACAAGUAGAGUGAUCGAAAGAUGAAAAGCACUUUGGAAAGAGAGUCAAACAGCACGUGAAAUUGUUGAAAGGGAAGCGCUUGCAGCCAGACUUGCUUGCAGUUGCUCAUCCGGGCUUUUGCCCGGUGCACUCUUCUGCAGGCAGGCCAGCAUCAGUUUGGGCGGUGGGAUAAAGGUCUCUGACACGUUCCUUCCUUCGGGUUGGCCAUAUAGGGGAGACGUCAUACCACCAGCCUGGACUGAGGUCCGCGCAUCUGCUAGGAUGCUGGCGUAAUGGCUGUAAGCGGCCCGUCUUGAAACACGGACCAAGGAGUCUAACAUCUAUGCGAGUGUUUGGGUGUCAAGCCCGAGCGCGUAAUGAAAGUGAACGGAGGUGGGAACCCGCAAGGGUGCACCAUCGACCGAUCCUGAAGUUUACGGAAGGAUUUGAGUAAGAGCAUGGCUGUUGGGACCCGAAAGAUGGUGAACUAUGCUUGAAUAGGGUGAAGCCAGAGGAAACUCUGGUGGAGGCUCGCAGCGGUUCUGACGUGCAAAUCGAUCGUCAAAUUUGGGCAUAGGGGCGAAAGACUAAUCGAACUAUCUAGUAGCUGGUUCCUGCCGAGUUU
rnacentral:rRNA from 1 species